rnacentral:misc_RNA from 1 species
UAGCCCCUCACCUGGCACCGCCUGGCUUGGCUUCGAGGAGGCAAGCUCCUCCAGCAGUAAAGGCGAGAAGCGCCAAGGCCCUAAGAUGCCUCUUUCAAGGAACGGUAAAUUUUUGUUCCCCCUUUUUAGUUGUCUUUUAACCCAAAUAAAAUUAAAGCCCUACCUAGCUACCUAUGCAAACAAGAAAAAAGAAACACAGCAACUCACAGCAGUUCUCUCUCAACAACGGGUGUGUGUUUGUGUGUG